GUUCUGUCUCUCCUUGGGCUGUUUCUCUUGGAGGUGACUUUCUGCAAGGCUCUCCUCCCUGACAGGGAGCAGGAUCGGGGACAGUGUGUAGGAGCCUGCAGUCUCCAGCUGCUCUAAGUGAGCUUAGGUGGGAAAAAUCAAUUCAGUGGAAAGUCAUGGGACAGACACUUUGGCUUCAGAUCCAGGAAUAAGAAACCUGCAUUGGCUGUGCUUCGUCACUGAUUCAGGAGCAGCCUGUGGAAAGCGUGGCCUCAGCAUCAAUGUGGUGGUGAACCCAGAGGAGUGGAAACAAGGCCAACUAUUAUGCUCCCUGCAGCAGGAGACCUGAGUGGUGCAUUGUCCUGGCCAUCACAAUGGCUUGAUCAGAUCCAACACUGGAUGGCAGCCUUGGAGUCAGAAAGAGCCUGGGUCCUUGAGGACAUCACUGAGAAGCUGGACCAACCAUCCUGAUGACCUCACAAUCUGUAGACGCCCAGAUAUGUGAGCCCAUCUGUUUCCUUAUGUGAAAGUUAAUGUGGUUGGAUUUUCUCUUACACUGAAAGCAUCUAACUGCUCCAGGUGUUAUGCCCGUUUUCAGUUGAGGAAGCUGAUAUCCAGAGAGAUGGAGUAACUUGCCCAAGGUCGCACAGCUUGUGUGGCAGAGCUGGGCUCGGGACCAAGGUCUGACUGUUGGCUCCACACCCUGCAAUUAAUCUGCUGUUCACUGGGAGAGGUGAUUCGUGUAUUUCAAGAUUAUAAGAACAGCUCAGACAUGCUUAACUUACUAAGAAACUGGUAUUGGACUUUUCACACUUUCUCUGAGUUCAGAGCUGGGCCAUUUCCUGUGUAACAGGGAUCUCCAGAAUAUCAAAAGACUUCACAAAUCACAGUGGUGCCAAAGAAGACAGAUUUAAUACUGGUUUUCAGGAUGACAUCAGUUCUUUUUCUCCAUUUUUAAAAGUAGGCAGUAAUGAUGACAGCAUAUAAAACAAAUAUAUACCAGGUCGUAGCUUCCAAUUUCCUCUUAUCAGAAUUGACAAAUGUCCCACACCGUGCAGGAAGAGUGCAGUUAAGAAGGGGCACAGAGUUAUCUGUGAGUUUUCAUUACUUUUGUUCAUUAUACUGCUGCAUUCCCAAUCUUUUCACCCUCAAUCCUGUGGGUUAAAGGACUGCAAAUGCAGCAGUGUAAUGAGCAAAAGUCUAAGAACUUUUUCUGGAACAACUUAAAGUCUCAGAAUUGGACAGAAUUUGGAGGACAGCUGGUUUAGUCCCUCCCCCGUGGCAGGCAGGAGUCCCUCCCAGAGCACCCCCUGCUAGGCAGCCAUUUAGCUUUCCCUAGAAAACGCUCUGGAGAGGAGUCACUCUUUUCUACUCUCCUUGCUAGGAAGCUCCUCAUAUUGCACUGACUUCGUGCUUAUGUAUUGUUAUAAACCAAGUCACUGUUCUUCAGAGCAGAAUGGAUACCAGCUCAUUAAAAGACAAAUGGCGACAAAUUAUCUUUGUGACUGUGUUCUCUUCCCAAGGUGAUCUGAUGAGCCAUCAGUAAUAGAUACCCCCCAAUAGGGUGACCAAGCCUACUUACCCCUUUACCCCUUAACUCACUCUAGGUAGAAAUGGGAUACACAUCCUGUCUGUGAAUUUGAUGUAACCCAGGAGAGAGACAAGGGGUAACUUCAAGGUUUUAUGUAGCUGAAAGAUGACCUUCAGGCGGGGGAUGACUUUGUUUUUUGCCUUAUUUUAUUUUAUUUUAUUUCAAAAUCACACAUUUGUUUAGCUCUAAGAGUUAAAUACCACUACAAAGCUAAUAAUGAAAAACAGCAGUCUCUACCUAUGGUCUCCCUGUCUUUACAUCUUCCUCUCCAGAGGCAACCCCUUGCAAGUCUUCUGGCCAUUUCUUCUGGUGUUUAUACUUAAAUUUCUCAAUAAUGUGUUGAUACUGUUAUUUCUUGAUUUUUCAGUUUUAGGUAUAAUCCAAUUUCUUCCUAUCACAGAAAAUGAGGAUUGAGCAUGGCUUCACCUCUCCUUCCUUUCCCUGGUGCUGCUCCUGACCCCCAACCCCCACCACUCACAUGCAAACUUCCUCUUCUAUCUUCCCAAUAUAGUUGCAUCAUAGUUUUUGGUUGAGUCAACAUGUAUUAUUUAGAUUUAUAUGAUGAUGUAGAUCUUGCUCACAGCUGAGCCAUGCAAUGAAAUCCAGAAAGAAUAAAGAGGCAUGACUGACCUACUUAACAGAGAAAACACACAUGUGACCUGAGGUGCCAAAGCCCUCCCUGGAGUGUUCCACACCAACUAAUUCAGACUGCGGGGAAAGGAUUGCUGAAGGUUACUUGUUCUGUGCCUGCCAGGUUGAAGCAAGACCAACUGCUGAAGGGGUGGGCGAGGUUUGCCUCCCUUCCUAAGGAGGUGGAAGUGUGAAGAUUUUGCACACUGGACAAAUAAAGAGAUGAAAACAAGGGUGAACUCAAGACAGCAAAACAAAGCCAUAAACCAGCCCCUACCCGUGUGGGAACCUUGCUGAAGAGUUUGAUGUUUUUCCUUUUUCCUUUGCACUCUGGGAACAGUCAUAUGAAGCAUCCUGUUUAAAUACUUUUCUCCUUUGAAGCAAUACCCUCUAGUUACUCAUGACCCUUCAGUGAUUCACAAACCAUCUUGUGCUUCCUAUGAGUUGAUGUAGGGUGGGCUGGGGACCAGGCAGUAAGAGAAGCCUGGCGUCUCCACAUCACCACUCUGCAAGCUUCCGUUUUCUCCAGAGUGUUCUGAGUCUGUCCUCCCCAACCCCUCCCUGUCGGGCUAGGCCAUUUUGCCUGCUGUCCCUCCACCGGCAUUGACAAGCCCUAGGGGCACCACUGCUUAGGGGAAGGGCAGCUUCUGCAUGUGGCCCUCUCCUGGAGAAAAAACAUGCUGAUUUUGUUUUUAAAAUAAAUGUUAGCUGGAGCACUGGCUCACACCUGUAAUCCCAGGA